rnacentral:rRNA from 1 species
GACGAACGCUGGCGGCGUGCUUAACACAUGCAAGUCGAACGGAAAGGCCCUGCUUGUGUGGGGUGCUCGAGUGGCGAACGGGUGAGUAACACGUGAGUAACCUGCCCUUGACUUUGGGAUAACUUCAGGAAACUGGGGCUAAUACCGGAUAGGCGCUCCUGCUGCAUGGUGGGGGUUGGAAAGUUUCGGCGGUGGGGGAUGGACUCGCGGCUUAUCAGCUUGUUGGUGGGGUAGUGGCUUACCAAGGCUUUGACGGGUAGCCGGCCUGAGAGGGUGACCGGCCACAUUGGGACUGUGAUACGGCCCAGACUCCUACGGGCAGCAGCAGUGGAGAAUAUUGCACAAGGGGCGGAAGCCUGAUGCAGCAACGCCGCGUGCGGGAUGACGGCCUUCGGGUUGUAACCCGCUUUCGCCUGUGACGAAGCGUGAGUGACGGUAAUGGGUAAAGAAGCACCGGCUAACUACGUG